rnacentral:rRNA from 1 species
GACGAAGGACCCGAGCGUUAUCCGGAUUCAUUGGGUUUAAAGGGUGCGUAGGCGGAUUGAUAAGUCAGUGGUGAAAGCCUGUUGCUUAACAACAGAACUGCCAUUGAUACUGUUAAUCUUGAAUAUGUUUUGAUGUGGGCGGAAUAUGACAUGUAGCGGUGAAAAUGCUUUAGAUAUGUCAUAGAACACCGAUUGCGAAGGCAGCUCACAAAGCCAUUAUUGACGCUGAGGCACGAAAGCGUGGGGGAUCAAACAGG